AUCAUCCUCACGGACAGCGCGGCUGUGCGGGCGGAGAGCUGUCGGAUGAGGCUGUCACUGGCUCGGCCAGCAUUUAUUGCUGCGUUUACCCAGAGGGCAGUUAAGAAUCAACCACGUUGCUAUAGGUCUGGAGUCCCAUGCAGACCAGACCAGAUCCCAGUGAUCAAUGCCAAAGCCCCAUUGCCUGUGUAGAGGGUGAUGUUUGAUUUCCCUGUCCAGCUGCAGUUCAUGUGGUGAAGGUGCUCCUACAAUGUGGUGGGGGUGCUCAAUGGUGAAGAUUCACAGCCUGAAAUCUCAAACUCAUGUGCAGAUUGUGAUUAAGUUAACCAGCAUUUGAAGAACCAAAGAUAGAGAAUAACUUGGCCAAAAUCCAGCAACACUCUCCUUCCCAGCAUUGUCUGUCUCUCUGCGCCAAAUGGACUGUGAAUGGUUCAAGACAGCAGCUCACUACCAUCUUCUCAAGGGUAACUAGAGAUGGGGAAUAAAUGCUGGCUGAGCCAGUGAUGCCCAUAUCCUGGAAAUGGUUUCUAUCUCUAGUUGCUGAACCCCAGUUGAUGUUACUGCAGGAUGAUGAGGGAUGCUGAGUGCAUCCUCCAGGAGGCAGCACCAUCACAUUACCCCUGCCUACACCCACACAGUAACACAGCAACGUCACUGGAACAAAAGGCAGUGAAACCAAAGGAGGACUUAGAUAUAGUUCUUCGAGGUAAAGUCAUGAAAGGGGAUUGGAACACAGCAGGAACAGGAGACUGAGCUGGAUGGUCUGCUGUUUCCCAUCGAAAGGUGGAGCAGGAUUGAAAGGCUGAAUGGUCUCCUCCUGCUGCUAUCUCCCAGGUAUGUAUAUAGCCAUGGAGCCCGGGAAGGAAGGAGUGGGCAGGGAUUCUCCAGGAGAUUGCACUUUCACAACAGUUUUCAGUGAGGGAUGGUUUGAUGGAUUUUAUUUAACAUUUAUCUUUAACACAAGGUUUGUAAAUUUGCUUUUAAAAU